CUCACCACCAUUUCUUCCUGUCCCCUUUCCCCUGUUAUGCUUCUACAUUCCCAGGUGUGUGCCACUUAUUAGAAGCUUCUUCAUGACCAUGAGAAAGGAGCUGAAUGAACAUGAUGGAGUUUGUAAUUUGUAGUUUACAUUUUGGAGAUUUAUAAUUCCUUGUUUUUCUUGUCC